GAUGAAGAACGUAGCGAAAUGCGAUAAGUAGUGUGAAUUGCAGAAUUCAGUGAAUCAUCGAAUCUUUGAACGCACAUUGCACCCUUUGGUAUUCCAAAGGGCAUGCCUGUUCGAGCGUCAUUUGUACCCUCAAGCUUUGCUUGGUGUUGGGCGUCUUGUCUCUAGCUUUGCUGGAGACUCGCCUUAAAGUAAUUGGCAGCCGGCCUACUGGUUUCGGAGCGCAGCACAAGUCGCACUCUCUAUCAGCAAAGGUCUAGCAUCCAUUAAGCCUUUUUUUCAACUUUUGACCUCGGAUCAGGUAGGGAUACCCGCUGAACUUAAGCAUAUCAAUAAGCGGAGGA
rnacentral:misc_RNA from 1 species